rnacentral:rRNA from 1 species
CUUCGGUUCUAGCGGCGGACGGGUGAGUAAUGCGUAGGAAGCUACCCGAUAGAGGGGGAUACCAGUUGGAAACGACUGUUAAUACCGCAUAAUGUCUACGGACCAAAGUGUGGGACCUUCGGGCCACAUGCUAUCGGAUGCGCCUACGUGGGAUUAGCUAGUUGGUGAGGUAAUGGCUCACCAAGGCGACGAUCCCUAGCUGGUUUGAGAGGAUGAUCAGCCACACUGGAACUGAGACACGGUCCAG